GAUGAACGCUGGCGGCGUGCCUAAUACAUGCAAGUCGAGCGAACAGACGAGGAGCUUGCUCCUCUGACGUUAGCGGCGGACGGGUGAGUAACACGUGGAUAACCUACCUAUAAGACUGGGAUAACUUCGGGAAACCGGAGCUAAUACCGGAUAAUCUAUUGAACCGCAUGGUACAAUAGUGAAAGACGGUUUUGCUGUCACUUAUAGCGGGAUCCGCGCCGCAUUAGCUAGUUGGUAAGGUAACGGCUUACCAAGGCUACGAUGCGUAGCCGAACUGAGAGGGUGAUCGGCCACACGGGAAGGGAGACGCGGUCCAGACUACUACGGGAGGGAGCAGUAGGGAAUCGUCCGCAAAGGGCGAAAGUCUGACGGAGCAACGGCGCGUGAGUGAUAAAGGCCUUCGGAGCGUAAAACCCUGUUACGAGGUAAGAACAAAUGUGUAAGUAACUAUGGCCGUCGUGACGGUACUGAAUCAGAAAGCCACGGCUAACUACGUG
rnacentral:rRNA from 1 species